rnacentral:rRNA from 1 species
UACGGAGGGUGCAAGCGUUAUCCGGAUUCACUGGGUUUAAAGGGUGCGUAGGUGGGCAGGUAAGUCAGUGGUGAAAUCUCCGGGCUUAACCCGGAAACUGCCAUUGAUACUAUCGGUCUUGAAUAUCGUGGAGGUCAGCGGAAUAUGUCAUGUAGCGGUGAAAUGCUUAGAUAUGACAUAGAACACCAAUUGCGAAGGCAGCUGGCUACACGAAUAUUGACACUGAUGCACGAAAGCGUGGGGAUCAAACAGG